AAGAAGAAGAGAUAGCACCAAGCUUAUCUCCGGCUCAGUAUUAUUACAGUUUGGCAUUUUCUUCCCCUCUCCCAUCCUCCUUAUACUACCCCGAGAUACCAACUCCUAUACUACACAUGAUAAUUACUUUUCCUGACUAUUCAUCUAUUCUACUUGCUGAAUCAUCUUUUCAGCAGUUAUCUAUCCUUGUUUAUACUAUACACUAGGUAUCUAUAUUCUGAAAAUAACUACUUAUUCUACAUAGCCCCACUCCUAACUGUGCAGCGUCCCCGCAAAUACAAUAUUGAUAAACAAAAACCAAUUUUU
rnacentral:lncRNA from 1 species